rnacentral:misc_RNA from 1 species
GAUGAAGAACGUAGCGAAAUGCGAUAAGUAGUGUGAAUUGCAGAAUUCAGUGAAUCAUCGAAUCUUUGAACGCACAUUGCGCCCCUUGGUAUUCCAUGGGGCAUGCCUGUUCGAGCGUCAUUUGUACCUUCAAGCUUUGCUUGGUGUUGGGUGUUUGUCUCGCCUUUGCGUGUAGACUCGCCUUAAAAUAAUUGGCACCCGGCGUAUUGAUUUCGGAGCGCAGUACAUCUCGCGCUUUGCACUCAUAACGACAGCGUCCAAAAGUACAUUUUACACUCUUGACCUCGGAUCAGGUAGGGAUACCCGCUGAACUUAAGCAUAUCAAUAAGCGGAGGA